rnacentral:lncRNA from 1 species
AAAAAAACCACCACUCACUCACUCACCUCACCGUCACCACUCCCUCACCUCACACGUCAAACACCUCACCACUCCUCACCUCACACACGGCCAUCAACGGCGGCUGCUGAAGGAGUUCCUAGGCAACGAUCAAUGGCGGCACAAGGACGGGCUGAUCUCCGCCGUCGGCAACGAUCAACGAAGGCAGAAGGAUGGGCUGAUGUUCUUCGUUGACAAUGAUCAACGGCGGCACAAGCACAGCCCCGUUCCUCGCCCCACAUUCUCUUUACCGCCAGAAUCAUCAAGCAAAACGUUAGUAUUAGAUUAGAUUUUCUGAA